rnacentral:rRNA from 1 species
GAUGAACGCUGGCGGCGUGCUUAACACAUGCAAGUCGAACGACGAAGCCCAGCUUGCUGGGUGGAUUAGUGGCGAACGGGUGAGUAACACGUGAGUAACCUGCCCUUAACUCUGGGAUAAGCCUGGGAAACUGGGUCUAAUACCGGAUAGGAGCGUCCACCGCAUGGUGGGUGUUGGAAAGAUUUAUCGGUUUUGGAUGGACUCGCGGCCUAUCAGCUUGUUGGUGAGGUAAUGGCUCACCAAGGCGACGACGGGUAGCCGGCCUGAGAGGGUGACCGGCCACACUGGGACUGAGACACGGCCCAGACUCCUACGGGAGGCAGCAGUGGGGAAUAUUGCACAAUGGGCGCAAGCCUGAUGCAGCGACGCCGCGUGAGGGAUGACGGCCUUCGGGUUGUAAACCUCUUUCAGUAGGGAAGAAGCGAAAGUGACGGUACCUGCAGAAGAAGCACCGGCUAACUACGUG